CUCUUCCGCACUGAGCAAACUGGAAGGGGUGGAGAGUGGACCUGGAAGGAAAAACAGACAGCUCUCGAGUGCUAUCUCCUGUGUCAUACAGGGCUUUCUGGAUACAAGAAGCAGAUCCACUCAUGGUCACCCCCCCGGGAGAAGCCAGGGAUGGGACGGAACCUCAAAGUCCUCAUCUGGACCAUGGAAGACCAUGCUGUUAUUCUCACCUUCUGUCCACUAUCCAACAGGACAUUUCAAAAUUCAUUGUCAAGUAGAAUCACCCGAGGAACUUGUUAAAAUGUUGGUUUGAACCCAGUAAGUCUUGUGUGGAGCUUGAGAUUCUGUGUUUCUAACGAGUUCCCAGCUGAUCCUGAUGCUCUAUGGACCUCACUUUCAGUUGCAAAGUUCCACGGUAUUAGACCAAAUACCUUUAGAGCUAACCUGUUGAUUUACUGAACUGGCUAAUGGACAUAUCACUUCCUUUCUCUGGCUCUCUUUUUCCUAUAAGCCAGAUGAGGAAAUUUGUUGACAAAAAUUUUGCCAAGUUCGACAAGUGCUUGGUUUCAGUACUG
rnacentral:lncRNA from 1 species